AUUCCUUUUUUCCUGUAUUUUCACUUUCUUGGGGUCAAGAUCGGUUUUUUGGCGUGGGAGUUUUUAAUCUUUAUUUUUCAGCGGAAAGAAAUACGAGACUGAAUCAGGAAGGACGAUACAGAGACUUAUUAAACAAGACGAGUUAAUCAUCCUGUCAGCUGCACUGUCGUUACUUUGAAAUUAUUGAAUCUCAAGGAUAGAAGUUCUGGACCACCUUUACAACAGGAAGACGGUUUUGGCUGCAUAUCUUUCUCCCUUUGAGCUCAGCCUUUCAGUCAGACUUCGUCUGAAUUUAUCAGGAACAACUCUCCAUCGAUUAAGUAAGAAAGUGGUAUCAUUGAAGUGAGGAAGUGUUUCAUGGUUAAUGCAGCAUUUUUGGCUACCCAAAAGAAUGAGAACGAGCCAAUAAAAGACCUUCAUCAUCAAAAAGCACCCGUUUAACGUACAGUUUUAACCAGGCUUGUAGCGGAGCUUCACUUCCGUAAACAUUCACCGCGCAUCUACCUGCCCACCUUCAAUCGUGGCCUUGUGUUGUGCCCGCAACGCAGCUUUAAGAGAAAUGCCGUUCUUGGGAGAGACGCACGGUCGUCCUUACGAAGCCAUUUUUUGUUUCAUUGUAUUUUGUUUGAUUUUAUUUGAUUUUUUUACUUUUGAUAGGGUACUUUAGAUAUAGGACUUUGCAUGUGCGCUUGACGUCAGUAGCACUGCUGUAGGAAACCUCGCGUAUGACUUUUUUUAAUUCGAACUGUUUACCUUUAAUGGAGAAUAUUUACCAAGCCAUGGCUGUCUGAAGGUUGGAUAACACUAUCCAGUGGAUAAAUCUCUAUACGGUGGAUAGCCAAUUACGUGACGUUUUGCUAUCACAUCCGCUGGAUAGCGAUCUAUUCGUUGGAAAAUGUUAUCCACCCUUCAUACAACUGGGCCUAAUUUGUAUUGUGACGAUCCUUUAGCCUAUGAUACUUCAAGACAUUGCAUUAUCUCUGAAAUAUGAUUGUGCAAUCUAUUCUUGCAUUUAAGAUCACAUCUGGUCGGAGAAUACCAAGCUAGAUCCAGUUUUUCUGUUUUCUUAUUACUAUUGACCAUUGCUUGCUAAUUAUUAUCACAGAAGAACAUUAGUUAUGCUCUUUUUUUCAGAAUAAUUGAUGGAUGGAAACUCUAUUGUUGUAUGUAAGCAAGUUUGAAGGUUAUGACCUAAUGUGGAGUUUGUCUGAUUAUUGCUGCAUUUGAAACUCUGAUAAGGUUUUGAAAAUAAUUACUGAAAAACUUUUUUCAAGAAAUCUGAUUAAAAUUAGAUUUUUUUUGGCAGCUCUCGCACUAAAGACAAUUUUCCUUUCUCCAUCCUUGUCACCGAGCUCCUCUUCUUAUUUUUAGUAUUGUGUUUGUAUUUGUGUUGCAACACUCACCCUCUAGUAUCGGGCUCUAGGAGUUUCGUAAUUCAUUUCGCGUCAGACAUAAAACAGAGAUAAAUAAACAAAGUGAUAUAAUUUACACCUCUUUGAAGUAAUAAAUAUAAACAGUCUUCUCUUA